GACGUAGGGCGCGAGCGUUGUCCGGAUUUAUUGGGCGUAAAGAGCUCGUAGGCGGCUUGUCGCGUCGACUGUGAAAACCCGCGGCUCAACUGCGGGCCUGCAGCCGAUACGGGCAGGCUAGAGUUCGGUAGGGGAGACUGGAAUUCCCGGUGUAGCGGCGAAAUGUGUAGAGAUCGGGAGGAACACCGGUGGCGAAGGCGGGUCUCUGGGCAUUCCCUGACGCUGAGGCGCGAAAGCGUGGGGAGCAAACGGG
rnacentral:rRNA from 1 species